AGGGGGGCACUACCUUUUCAUCUAUACCCUGUUAAGAAAAGGGGCCCUGAUUCUAAAACUUGCCUAACAAAAUAAAUCUGUCUUAGGUAUAAACAUUUCACCCAAGAGUUUUAGCACACACAUAAUCUAGAUUU